rnacentral:lncRNA from 1 species
GUUUGGUAAAGCUGAAUGUAGAUAUAUUUGCUGCAACUCAUUUGAAGUCUUCUUCUCUAAUGAGAAAGAUAAAUAUGCUAGAUAUACUUACUGGAGGUGUGAUGAGAUGAUUGAAGCUGUUAAUUUUUCUCCUUGAUAAUAUUUAUGUACGUUUCGGCAACAAAGUUUAUCGACAGGUUGUAGGUAUCCCCAUGGGCACUAAUUGUGCCCCUUUAAUAGCAGACUUGUUUUUGUACUGUUACGAAUCACAGUUUAUGACUAAACUCAGUAAAGACCCGUCGAAAUUGCAUUUAAUUGAUAAAUUCAACAACACUUACCGUUAUCUUGAUGAUAUUUUUUCGUUAAAUAAUCAAGAAUUUUCUCAAUAUACUGCUGAAAUUUACCC